AGGAGUGUAGCUCAAUUGGUAGAGCGCCGGUCUCCAAAACCGGAGGUUGGGGGUUCGAUUCCCUCCGCUCAUGCCA
rnacentral:tRNA from 1 species